GCCAUUUUUAAAGUGGGGGAGAGUGUGACAGGUCAAUUGAGAACAUUGAUGUUUAUUGUUUGGUUAUCGGGAACCCCACAAACAAAUGUUUGUUGUACUUGUCAUUUUGAAAUUCUUUAGUUUAUAAUCUUUUUGAAUUCAUCUUCAAAGUUGCUCAUGUUAAUCAGUUGAUGUUGACAUGUUAUUAAUUAAAUGCGCUGCAUAAUCUACACCACUAGGUGGAGUCUGUGAGUGAGAAACAGUGACAUGCAGGAGUUCAGUUUGAGUUUGUGAUGCUCCGGAGUUAGCAAGAAAGCUGUAGUUAUUAUUCAGCAGCUGAAGAGACUUGUAGGCAGAGUGAAUGAAGGUACUGGGUCUUUGUUAAACGCUUAAAUAAAGUGAAGACAAGUGAAACGA